UCAGCGCAUCACAUCAGUCACUCAAGAUGCCACUACUGGCACAGAUGUGAAGAGCUGGGACUUGGGAGCCGCAGUAGAAAACGCCUGAAGGUAGAAGAGCACCGAACAAGGAUUAUCUGGGUGGAUACCGCCGACCUGCGAGUUGGGGAUCUUCGUGUGUGUGAGGAUGUCAGUGUUUUCGCCUCGCUGACCGCAAUGUGCUUCUCUGGGUAGCCCCCGGGCAGCGUUCCUCCUCUCUGAAAUCGCCACCUCCUCUUCCCCUCCCCCUCCCCUAUCCUUCCUCCUCUCCCCCUAUCCCUCCCCCAUCUCAUUUAGUCCCACCAACCACCAGCUGCUCCAUGGAUCCCCUGUGUCCGAGUAAUGGUGUGAGCCGGACACAGGCCCGCACCUCCGGCCAACUGUAGCCCCCCACCCCAGCCCCCCUCGGUCCCAUUACUUUUUUAUUUUUUUGUACUGGCUUAUUUUUUCUCACAAUCCCUGGAGUUUAUUCUUGUUUGGAACCAGGGAUGGAUGUACCAUUGGAGGCCAGCAAGCAUGGCAAGAAGACGACCAGUCAAAAGCUGGAAGACCAGAAGAAGUUCUGUUUCUCUGGAGCAGCGCAUUGCUGUCUCGCCACACAGACAAGCUUCUGUUGUGUUUGGUUGUUCACGCCAGAGAUAUGUAUACAGAGAGAGGAAGACCUCUCUCCUCAGACACACCAUCUCCAGGGAGGCCAGCUUGAAGAGCCAGUUAUACUCCUCAGGUGGGUGGAUGGGAACAACCGGCUGUGUUUCAUCUCAACUUGUGCUAGCUAAUGCAUUCUGACUGCCUCGGGGUACAAGUCUGAGAUGCAUUACAUUGAUACACUACUAACCUGUAGACAUUUUCACUCUUCAGAUGUCUGUUGGGAAUCCAUUAGAGGGCAAAUGCUCUUUUUGUCUGGCAUCCACUAACGUCAGGGACUCCACUGGUGACUGGAGCUGGACACUGGUGUGAAUAGAAUUUCCUAACCGUCUGGACAUGCAGCAGGUGCACAGCCUCGGCUUUUUGAGUGAAAGGUGUUUUGAUCGCACCUCCUCCUCCCCAAGCUGUUACCGUAUACGGCUCCCGUACCCAAGAGAUCGCCAUAGAGACCCCAUCGCUUCUCUUACCGUCCCCGUCGAUCCUCCCCUCCUAAUGCACAUGUUACCUGGUGGGUGUGUUACAGGCGGAGAUGUAAUGAGCUCACUCGGGGGAACCAAUGAGUGAGUUUGAAAGGCGGGAGGCUGCUUAAUAAUUCAUGGCGAUGCUUGCAUAUUAGAUUCUGAACAAUUGAAAUGGCAGACGUGUGUGGAGCCGUGCUGUAGGUAGGUUAAGUGACCUUGUGGGUUUGGAGAGGGUGAACGGCUUCCUGCUUGCAGUGUGGAAGGGGUCGUGUUCCUCUAGGGCUGCGGUGAUAUGAUAGUGGGUGAUGUAUAGUGGCUAUUACCUUUUCUGGCAUCCGCGUGUGGAUCUUGCCACUGAAACCCGGCAGCAUUUGAUCAAAGGUGGGUAGAAUUUAUGAAGUCGUGUGCGCAAGGUCGUCAAGGGUUCCUCCACUAGGCUGUGGCGUGCUGAUGACAAGCCCAAUCAAGGAUGUGAUUAUUAAAUACAGACACUAACAACCUUGGAGCGUGUGCAUGUCCUCCUUUUGUAUCUCCUGAGCCACAUGCUUGAACCCAACUGAACUCACAGCCUUAGAUCACUUCCAUUAUGGUGUUUGUUUGGGUUGUCUUGAAUCACAGGUUCCAGAGGAAACACUCUGAUUGCUGAUGACCUGUCCUUCCCACCAUCCUGCUGACCAGAUGCAGCAGGAAACCGACCACAGAGCCCAAGUCACCAGGAAAUCAAAUAAAGUACUAACUGCACUAUUUGUUUGUCUUUGAUGUGCCUGUGACGAAUGCAGAAUAUGAGCUGAGCGGAAAAGGCUGAUUUUAGCUGUGAAUAAAAACACCUGUAUUGGGAACAUGGUGAAGUUAUAUGUCACUGAAGUGUGAGGCUGACAAGCAGGUGGGAUGAGGUUAUUAACCCCUAUUGUCCAUACACUAGGGGGGAUGAGGUUAGCCCUAUGGUUCAUACACCAGGGGGGAUGAGGUUAGCCUUAUAGUUCAUUCACCAGAUGGGAUGAGGUUAACCCUAUAAUUCAUACACCAGAUGGGAUGAGGUUAUCCCUAUAGUUCAUACACCAAAUGGGAUGAGGUUAGCCCUAUAGUUCAUACACCAGAUGGGAUGAGGUUAGCCCUAUAGUUCAUACACCAGGUGGGAUGAGGUUAGCCCUAUAGUUCAUACACCAAAUGGGAUGAGGUUAUCCCUAUAGUUCAUACACCAAAUGGGAUGAGGUUAGCCCUAUAGUUCAUACACCAGAUGGGAUGAGGUUAGCCCUAUAGUUCAUACACCAAAUGGGAUGAGGUUAUCCCUAUAGUUCAUACACCAAAUGGGAUGAGGUUAGCCCUAUAGUUCAUACACCAGAUGGGAUGAGGUUAGCCCUAUAGUUCAUACACCAAAUGGGAUGAGGUUAGCCCUAUAGUUCAUACACCAGAUGGGAUGAGGUUAGCCCUAUAGUUCAUACACCAGGUGGGAUGAGGUUAUCCCUAUAGUUCAUACACCAAAUGGGAUGAGGUUAGCCCUAUAGUUCAUACACCAGAUGGGAUGAGGUUAGCCCUAUAGUUCAUACACCAAAUGGGAUGAGGUUAGCCCUAUAGUUCAUACACCAAAUGGGAUGAGGUUAGCCCUAUAGUUCAUACACCAGAUGGGAUGAGGUUAGCCCUAUAGUUCAUACACCAAAUGGGAUGAGGUUAGCCCUAUAGUUCAUACACCAGAUGGGUUGAGUUUAGCCCUGUAGUUCAUAUACAGAACCAGAUGGACUGCUCUCCUACACACUUUGUGUUUCUUAUUAAAACAAUGGCCACUAAGUGUGUAUAUGUGUUUACACACUAAGUGUUGAUAUGCCUCUUCUGCAUAUAAAACAGUUUCUUAUAGUUCAUUUGAACCUGUCAGCCACUUCGUUAAGAUCCAGAUCUGUCGAACCCUGAAUAAUCAGCCUCUCUGCCAUAGUUGCAAUUGUAUAAUCUGCGAAUAUUAUAUAUUUUUUUAAACUGCAUACAUUUUUCAUGAUCUCCUGAGCAAUAGUUCAAUCUGAGAUCUUCUGAGGGACAAGGGAGGUCAGGCCAUGUGUGAGUGAGGAGAUGCUAACCUCGAUCAACAGUCAGAGUCCCUAUCGUAUGCAUCAGGGCUCCUUUGUUUGAAUGUCGGCGUGAGCUUGAGGCAUGCUUGAAAAUCAAACAGGCAGGCUUGCAAGUGCCCUGGGAGGACGCAAACGCAGCCAUGACAGCAGAUACAAUGCUAGGAGAUGGAAAGCGGCAUAGGUCAAGUCAUUUCAAACAUGUCAGUGCUAACCUUCUGCCUCUCACAUUUUGGUUCCCACUACAUCACGGGGGGGUGGGCAGGGACCUGUCUCACGCCUGGUUGUGUCCCCUUCCAUGAGUCACCGUAACA
ensembl:lncRNA